UCAUCGUAAAAAUGUGAAUGUUGGGACUGAAUAGAGAUAACACUUCUUUCUGCAUCAUCCUAAUCGGUAACCUGAUAGAAAAAUUCGCUGGAGUCACACGGCCCUGAGAAAUUGCGCAUAGCACGCAUGUUGACGAUUGCACACGCGACACAUUGCGCUUGUCAAACCGCUCGGAACCAAGCCCCCGACCAUGGUGGGGAACGAUCGAUAAAUUCGAAGCCACGACGUUCUACCGGCGAGUAAGCAUUCCGCUGCAUUAUCUGAAAGUUCAAGUUACGACUGUGAAGCGAUAAGCUAAAGCCGACCAAAAUGCCGGGACCAGGUUGCGAUAAAUGCAAGACCAAAUGCCAGGACUGCAAGUGCGGUGAUAACUGCUCGUGCUGCGAUUCCGGAUGCAAAGAUCAAUGUAACUGCAAGACACAGGGUGGAAAAUGUACAUGCAAGCCUUGCACCUGUUAAUUAAUAAUCAUGUCAAGGACAGUCUAUGUUGAAGGUGAUAAUAGAUCCGUAAUGCGCUUAAAUAAAUCCAACAUGUGCGCAAUAUUCCAAAUGCAUUACUAUCAAUGUAAAAUUUUAUGCUUAGUGAAAAUUAGAGAUGCGAAUCCUUCGCUUUUUUGUUAGAUAAACAAUCAAUGAAUUAAUAAAAUUCACUUUAAGUACAUUA